AGAACGAACGUUAGCGGCGCGCCUAACACAUGCAAGUCGCACGAGAAAGGGCUUCGGCCCCGGUACAGUGGCGCACGGGUGAGUAACACGUGGAUAAUCUUCCCUCGGGCGGGGGAUAACCUUCCGAAAGGAGGGCUAAUACCGCAUAAGCCCACGACCUCGAAAGGGGAUGUGGGAAAAGCAGGCCUCUAUACAUAAGCUUGCACCUGAGGAUGAGUCCGCGGCCCAUCAGCUAGUUGGCGGGUAAUGGCCCACCAAGGCAAAGACGGGUAGCUGGUCUGGUGAGGAUGAUCAGCCACACUGGAACUGAGACACGGUCCAGACUCCUACGGGGAGGCAGCGAGGUGGGGAAUCUUCGGCGACAAGUGGGACGAAAGCCGUGGACGCGAGGCCGACGCCGGCGUGGAGGUGAGUGAACGGUCCUUACGGGUUAGUAAACG
rnacentral:rRNA from 1 species